UCUGUCUCGGAGAAAUGGGCUGG
rnacentral:piRNA from 1 species